GUCAGGAUGGCCAAGUGGUCUAAGGCACCAGACUCAAGUUCUGGUCCCUUUCUAGGGGCGUGAGUUUGAAUCCCACUUCUGACA
rnacentral:tRNA from 1 species